rnacentral:lncRNA from 10 species
GGGAGUUGAUUUGCACUGCUCCGGGUGUCGGCUCCGGCGGGACGGGCGGUUCUGCGUACCCCUCUCCAGUGUCAACCUGGGGCUGAAUCUUCAACCUGUCAAAGCCUUCUUAAUUAUGUCUGAGAAAAGUACUAAAAUAGGUGCCAUUUUAAAUUCCCAGACAAGGAAAAACCAAGGAUUAGAAAUUAAGUAGCUUGCCCAAGGCCACACAUCAGAUCCUGAUUGAGUCAAUGCUUUGCAUUCUCAGUCCUCUGCAUAAAGCUGAGAGAUGCCUACAGCUGAGAGUGAAGCAAAAGUAAAAACCAAAGUUCGCUUUGAAGAAUUGCUUAAGACCCACAGUGAUCUAAUGCGUGAAAAGAAAAAACUGAAGAAAAAACUUGUCAGGUCUGAAGAAAACAUCUCAAACCAGGAGAAAUCAAUGGCCGUAUGGUAAUAAUUAUCCUUUUAUGUUUGAGGCACACUUUCAAAUGAUAGAAUCUUUGGCAGCACACUUGAAGGAAUUAAAAAUACAGUGCUCAAAGACUAAGCAAAUCAGCAACUAACUACAACCUGAUCCCCUUGGAAUCAUAAAGAGUCUGUAUUGGCAUCCACAGUUAAUGCUCUAUGCCCUCUUUAUACCUAUCUCCCUACUUGAGUUGCACUUUUUACUACUUUGACCAUUAUCUCUUCUGUCCUCACAGAAAAAAAUAAACAGGCUCUUGUGUAAAUGGUA